GAUUAACGCUGGCGGCGUGCCUAACACAUGCAAGUCGAGCGGCAGCGAGUUUUACACUGAAUUCUGGAAGCUUCUAGUUGAAAGAGAAGAUUUAUUCAAGAAUUUUGUGUAAAAUGUCGGCGAGCGGCGGACGGCUGAGUAACGCGUGGGAACGUACCCCAAAGUGAGGGAUAACGCAUCGAAAGGUGUGCUAAUACCGCAUAUGGUCUUCGGAUUAAAGCCUUCGGGCGCUUUGGGAACGGCCUGCGUAAGAUUAGAUAGUUGGUGGGGUAAUGGCCUACCAAGUCGACGAUCUUUAACUGGUUUGAGAGGAUGAUCAGUCAGACUGGAACUGAGACACGGUCCAGACUCCUACGGGAGGCAGCAGUGAGGAAUCUUCCACAAUGGGCGAAAGCCUGAUGGAGCAACGCCGCGUGCAGGAUGGAGGCCUUCGGGUUGUAAACUGCUUUUAUAAGUGAGGAUUAUGACAGUAACUUAUGAAUAAGGAUCGGCUAACUACGUG
rnacentral:rRNA from 1 species